CCUACGGGGGGCUGCAGUGGGGAAUAUUGGACAAUGGGGGGAACCCUGAUCCAGCCAUGCCGCGUGUGUGAAGAAGGCCCUCGGGUUGUAAAGCACUUUCAGUGAGGAAGAACGCCUGGUGGUUAAUACCCAUCAGGAAAGACAUCACUCACAGAAGAAGCACCGGCUAACUCCGUGCCAGCAGCCGCGGUAAUACGGAGGGUGCGAGCGUUAAUCGGAAUUACUGGGCGUAAAGCGCGCGUAGGUGGCUUGAUAAGCCGGUUGUGAAAGCCCCGGGCUCAACCUGGGAACGGCAUCCGGAACUGUCAAGCUAGAGGGCAGGAGAGGAAGGUAGAAUUCCCGGUGGAGCGGUGAAAUGCGUAGAGAUCGGGAGGAAUACCAGUGGCGAAGGCGGCCUUCUGGACUGACACUGACACUGAGGUGCGAAAGCGUGGGUAGCAAACAGGAGUAGAUACCCGUGUAGUC
rnacentral:rRNA from 1 species